UCGUCGUCGAACUUCAAAGCGUUUCGUGCUCACAACCGGUGGAAAGAAGUUCCGUGCGAGGAAAGCAGGCAGUCAGGCCAAUAGCCCAGAAAACUCUGAAGGCGGGCGCGAACAAGUAAGCCGUAGCCAGCCCCCGAAGUAGCCGAGUGAAGUCGAGUCGAAACUCCAGUCGAAACACAAAUGAAAAUAAAGAAAAGUGAAAGAAAUUUUUUAAAUUAAAAAUUGUGAGAUAAUCAGCCAAAAAAUAUCCGAAACUCAUACAAAGUAUACAUCAGGGGAAAAACCGAGCGCCGCUGGGAAGCUGCUGACGGCAGAAUCGAGGGGAUCAACUUUUGGCACGCUAUGCCCACGACGACCCGUCGGGUUGCGGGUGCGGGGAUUCCCAUUCGUAUUCGCCCAGAGAGCGGGUAUAGAUACGGGCACAGAUAGAAGCUGAGGUCGAACGUGUGCCCAGGCCUCGGGCAGCUCCGAAUUGCUUCUGGUGGAUCCGCGACGUGAGCUAAGAUGCUGCUUGAUUUUAACCAAGUUAAAUAAACCGGCCAAGCACACAGGCACGCACACAGGCACGCACACAGGCACGCACGCACGCCUAAACAAUCACAGUCACAGGCCGGAAAAAAGCAAAAAUAGGACUUUUGAACUAAAGGAAAGAUAGGGCGAAAGAGAAAUGGCUGCGCCCAUCGACGAGAGUGUGCUGAAUGCACUGAAGGGGGUGACAACGAAGCAGACCCGCCUGCCCAAGCCGCUGCUCAUCAAGAUCUAUGUGGCCAGCCUGAAGCAGGAGUUCAACCAGGAGCGCCGCAUGCUCCUGGAGCUGGUGGGGCCCGAGCUGCAGAGCCUCUACGACGACCGUCAAAUCGAGCUGGAGUUCGUGGACAUGCACUUUGGCACUGGGGCACUGGGGGUCAACCAACUGGAGCGGGAUCCCUAUUUGCUCGAGGACUACUUGCACGAGAUCGACACCUGUCAUGCCCACACGAAGAGCGUCUUCUUCCUGGCCCUCAUCGGCGAUGGACUCGGCCGCCUGCCGCUGCCCACGCAUCUGGACGAGGACAUCUAUGCGGCAGUGUUGGCCGACCCUCAGACAACGCCCGAACAGGAGGCUCUUCUGGCCAGGUGGUAUGAGAUGGAUGCAUCCAAGGUGCAGCGCCAACUGAAGCAGGACUAUCGAGUACUGCCCAUGGAUGCCUGGCUGAGCGAGUCCCAGCAGCUGCAGAGGAUGCUGGAGCAGGCCCUGCAAAGUUUUGUUCAAGGACCAGGAGCAUCAGCGCGAUCCGCAGACUUCCUGAAACGGGUGCAACAGCUGAGGCGCACACAGAUCGAGCGCGAAGUCGAGCAGGCAAUGGCGCUCUCCAGCGAGAAGAUCUUGGCCGUGUUUCGGGAGCGGGCCGCUCAGAGCAGCAAGAGGGAUGUGGAGGCCAGCGAGCGGCUUCGCAAAAUCAAGGACGAGCUCACCAUGAACCUCUCUACGGACAAUCACACAACGCUAGUGGUGCCCGGCAGUGCCUCCUGCGAGAUGAUCGACCCCGACAAUGAAGACCACGAAUCCUAUCUCAGCAAAUUUAAGAACAAAGUCACCGACAAGCUGCGCCUGCUGAUCGAGGCGCACAUCACCAAUGAUCCCGAUGUAAUCAAGGGGAGGAAAAAGACUGUUCAGGAAAUCUUUCACGAGCACGCCACUCACCUGCGCAUCCUGCGCGAUCACGUGGAGAGCGCAGCGCUCAUUGAGUCGCGAGUGCCGCAGAAGCUGCGGCAGAAUCUGAUGGCCAACUUCAGGAACGGGAGCCGGCACGCGCCGUACUUCAUCUGCGGCUCGGAUGGCAGCGGCAAGAGCGCCCUCAUCAGCACCUUGUACGGGCAGGUGGGCAGCUGGUUCGUCUCGACGAGGGUCCAUCGCGUGAUCCGGUUUGCCAAGGCCACGCCGCGCUCGGCCUACAACCUGGAGCUGUUGCGAGUGAUCUGUCAGCAGAUCUCGAUUAUCUUCAACAUCCCAGAGGGCUACCUGCCCAAGGACGCCUCCUUCGACCCGCUGUACAUCAGCACCUGGUUCCAGAACCUGCUGCGCCGCGUCGAGGACAUGAGCAACGACGUCCUCUUCCUGUUCAUCGACGACCUGCACCUGCUCAACCCCCUCGACUGCGACAUCGUGACCGCCCUCUCCUGGCUGCCCACCUCGCUGCCCUGGAACGUGCAGAUCAUCUGCAGCUCCACCACCCCCGUCGAGCAGCUCAAGUUCACGCCCAUGCAGCGGGACCGCUUCAAGUCGGCGGAGUACCAGUUCGACCUCAACCUGGGCGAGUACGCCACGGAGCUGCAGCGACCCCCCCAGUGCGUGCCCGAGGUCAGCUUCGUGCUCUACGUGGAGCAGCAGUUCGACGGCCUCGAGCGGCACUACGGCAGGCAGGCGGUGGGCAGCCUGGCCGCCUACAUCACCUGCUCCGAGUACGGGCUGAGCGAGACAGAGCUCCUGGAGCUGCUCAUGCCCACCGAUGAUCCCGAGUCGCUGAUCGACACCAGGAGCGGACACUUUAGCUUCGCCACCUUCAAGAAGAUCCACAGGGAAAUGGACAAACUGCAGCUGCUGCACGACAAGAUCAUGUCCGGCAAGGUGCUUGUGCAGUGGCGCCACAACUACUGUGCGGUGGUGGCCAAACGAAGGUACAUGGGUGGCCAGAGGACGCGCAACCUGCACAUGGAGCUGGCCAACCUCUUCUUCCCGCAGGACGAGGACGAAAGCACGCUGGAAAACGAGUCCACGCAGAGUGAGACCAAGUCCGUGGUCAGCCUCAAGGACAGUCUCAGGGAGCGCGAUCUGCACCACAAGGACAGGGAGCGCGAGAAGGACAACGUCUCCGCAGGCCGCAAGUCCUCCUCCACCCACCACAACGACGACACCUCCACCUUCUACAACCCCAUAGCCGCCGACGUAAGCUACAGCAUGCGGCACGUGGAGGAGAGCUGGCACCACCUGAUGCGCUCCGACGACACGACUCGCUUCAAGCAAAUCGCAGUCUGCAACUUUGAUUUCCUGCUGGCGGCGGUUCAAACGGUCUCGAUCAGCUAUCUGCGCUGCCUGAUCGAGCACGUGCGAUGCUUUAUCCUGGAUAGGGACAUCGAGCUGAUCUACUACACGAUACGCAAGUCCAGCGAUGUACUAACCCGCGACCCCAUGCAGCUGGGCUCCCAGCUGAUCUCCUGGCUGCGUCCGAUCAGCGAGCACGACGACGACGACAACUCGCUGCUCAGCAUGACGGUGCGGUCGGCCACGGCCUGGUGCGACGGAUACGCCGUGCCGCUGCUGGUACCCCUCACGGGAUGGCUGCCAGCACCGCUGCCGUCGCAGAUUCGCACCAUGACGGUGUCGGGUACGGGCGUCAUCCGAGCCGUCUGUCUGGCACCCUCGAAGCAGCACCUCAUCCUGGCCACCAGUUCGGGCGAGGUGCAGCAGUGGCACAUCAUGAGCAACUCGCUGGAGCACAUCUUCAAGGGACACACUGCGGCAGUCACGUGCCUGCUGGUGGCCCCCACUACAGAGCCGGAGCUCCUGCUCACCGGCUCCGAGGACACCAGCGUGCUCGUCUGGCACGUCUCUCAGCGCGACCGUCGGGCGCACAUCAACGCCCACACCGCCCCCAUAACGGGCGUGGCAGCCGGGGUCAACAAUACGCUGAUCAUCAGCAGCAGCGAGGAUGCGACAAUCGCCAUCACAGACCUGGCCAGCGGCAAACUGAAACACCGCAUCAGCCACCACCGCGGACCGGUGAGCGGGAUCCUCGUGGCCGGAGCGUGCGAUGUCCUGAUCUCGGCCAGUCACGAUCGAACCAUCUGCGUGUGGAACCUCGAGAACUUCGCCCUGCUGAACACCAUGCAAAUGAUGGCUCCUGUCCUGCGCAUCGACAUCUCAUGGAACUCGGUCUUCCUCCUGGCCCUUUGCGAGGACAAUGCUCUCUAUGUGCGCACUCUGGCCACGGGUAAGGAGCUGCACACGCUCAAGGGACACAAGUCAAAGGUACGGACCAUUUGCAUUGGCAAGGAUAGCCAGCGCUGCGUGGUGGGAUGCGACGACACACGAGCCCUGAUCUACGACAUGCACUCGGGCAAGCUGGUGCGAUCAAUGCCACCCAACCCGGGGCCUGUGACCGCCGUCUAUGCCAUGGAGAAUGACGACUUCCUCAUCACGGUGGGCGGCAACAAGAUCACCUUCUACUCCUUCCGCAACGAGGAACUCUACGUGAACCCGUACUCGCGCAAUCCGCGCCGCAAACGGAGUCUGAAACGGCAUGCCCAGGCCCAGCGCUCACCCUCGACGACCCUGCCACCGAUCACAUGCUUCGAUCUCUCCCGGGACUCGCAGCAGAUGGCCAUCGCCUCGGGCCGCAGCGUGCACCUGAUGCGCAUCAACACGCCAGAGUACCAGUGCACCCUGGAGGGGCACUCUGGCGUCGUCAACUGCCUGAAGUUCGCGCCCAACGGAGAGUUCCUCACCACGGGCUCCGAGGAUCGGCUGGUGCAGGUCUGGAACCUGGCGGCGACCGAGACCAUCAACACGUUCAAGGGCCAUGCGGCGCCAGUGGUGAAGGUGGUGGUGCUGAUGGACUCGCUGCGAGUCAUCUCCACGGACCGGGACUCGCUGCUGCUCGUGUGGAUGGCCGACUCGGGCAACCUGCUGCAGACCAUCCAGGGACCGUACAAGAGCCUGGUGGUGACCAACAACAUGCGCUUCGCCGCCUCCAGCAACGGGGACAACACCCUCAAGAUCUGGUCGCUCACCCAGGAGGACGAGAAGUACUCGGUCUCGCACUCGGACGAGAUCACCUGCUUCGAGAUCAGCGCCGACAGCAUGCACAUCAUCACUGGCUCCCGCGACAUGUCGCUCAAGGUGUGGCAGUCCACGGGCGGCAAGCUCAGCCAGGUGCUGGUCGGCCACAGCGAUGCCGUGACCUGUGUCGCCGUCUCUGUGACCAACAAGACGCAGGUCCUGUCCGGCUCCAAGGACACCAACCUCAUCUUGUGGGACCUGCUCACAGGCGAGGAGGUCCACACGCUGGCCGGACACUUGGGUCCUGUCAUUGGAGUGAAGGUUUCGGCAGAUGGUUCGACGGCUGUGUCGGGCAGCGAUGACAAGACCUUGAUCGUGUGGGAGACGAAGCGCGGCCUGGCCCUGACCUCCCUGCAGAUGCACGUGCCCUUCACCCACUUCGACAUCAGCCUGGAGGUGUCGCGGGUCUUGGUACAGCUGGUGGAUAGCUACAAUCUGCCGGUAAUCUGUCUGCACAACACGCCGGCGCAGUAUGUGAAGCUGCCCACGUACUCGGGACCCACCAAGGAUGUGGAUGACCUCCGACCGCAGGGCCCGAAGCGCCAGAUGAAGCGGCUGCUAAAGAAGGAAGUGUCCCUGGACACGUACACCUGGCAGAAGAAGUACGGCCACCUGACAUCAUCGGUCAUGAUGGCCCAGGUGGAUGAGCGCCUGAAGCGCCGCUUCAGCGUCUCGGCCAGCAUGGAGGAGAUCUCAAAGAUCGCCGAGAACAAGACGGGGGCCUCCCAGGCCAACCUCGGUCCCGAACAGGCGGCUCUGGCCCAGUCGCAGCACUUCGACCAGCUAGAGGCGCUGUGGAACAAGCGAUCUCCGCCCCGUCGACGCCACAAUGCGGGUCUGUCGAGGCAGACUUCGCUGGUGGAGGACCGACUCGAGUCGUCGGACGACGAUGAGUACCAGGACGAGCGCGCAGACGACUUCGACGAUUUCUUUUAGGGGAAAGCCAUUGUAUAAGCAAAGUAACUACUCGUGCAUAGCAGAUAAAUAUUGUAGUGCGAUCCACAUAACUCUCGAACAUAAGUACUAUACCUGUACCUCACGCAAAUGCUGAACCACUUUUGAGAAUUCUACAUGCAAGAAAUAAUCGAACCGAAACCACAUAUAGAAACUUAAUAGCGUUAUAACAAUAAUAUUAACCAAAUAAUGACACAAGAGUUGACUUGCACUUAGCAGACUGCACCUCCAGCUGGAUCCAAUCAAAUCACUUCGCUGCAGGAGGAGGAGGAUACCACAAAGGAUAAGGCCUGAAACGGCUGCAAUUACGACACCUUAGCAUUUAAGAUACAUUUAUUUCCACAAUCGCAAGCAAUACUUACGAGUAAGUGCGUAACCGUAACCGUAACCGUAACUGUUAACGUAACGUAGCGCCACAAUUAACCGCCAUCUUCCGUUGCGUCGAGCUUUGGCUGCGGGUUGCCAUCCCUCAAUCCCCCCCUCCCUCCACCGUUUGUGUGUAGAUGAAAUAUUAAACCAUCAGAUAAACCACCGUCUCAGACUUUGUAGGAAUUAUAGCAUUAAGUGAGCCAAUUUGGGCAUUUUAUUGUUGUAGAGUGUUUUAUGUACUAGUACUUACACUGCGGAGCUGCCUAAUUGUUCCAGCACACAUUCCCACUCACCUAAAUAUAGUAAUAAUACUAAUUAUAUGAACCCUGAGUACCACUAACAAAUGUAUGUAGGAAUAGCGUAGAAUCUCUUUAGCCGAGAAAUGCAAACACAAACUCUCUGAGGGGAUAAAAGCGUGACUAUGCUUAAAAAGAAAACCAAAUUCGCACGAGCGAGGAAGCGCACUAAUGCAAUAAUCAGAAUAUGUCUAUAAUAAGCUAAUAAGUACACAACCAGAGGAGUGCCCCAACAGAGUAUCCAUAUGAAUGUAUGUAUGUUGGCAGAAUGUGCAUUCGGCACCUCCCCUUGGAUAACUUCAAUAACUUUCUGACAAUCAGAGGUUCUGGCCUGGAACGAAAGACCCAAAGCUAAGGAAACCAAAAUCUCAAAUCGAAAAAUUGAUAUUUCUACACACACACACAGAUAUAUUUCUAUGCAUGCCACAAGUGAAACUUUGUUAAACUAAGAAAACUUAUGUCUACGUUGUGUAGUGUAGUCGUAGUGUCCACUAGAAGUCGAUAGCCGAGCAUCUCCCGAGGAACCGUGCAUCUGGAUAUUAAUAUGGAAAUAGAUAUGAUAAUAUAUACAUAUAUAUACAUAUGUGGAUCAAUGUACACCACUGUCUAUGUCUAUUAAACCGAAAUUAAACCUUACUCAACUUUACUGCGAAACAGCAAAACG